rnacentral:lncRNA from 1 species
AUGACAUGGCUUCCAUUUUCUUUCUUUCUUUUUUUUGGAUCCCAUUUUCCAAAUGUUUACUGUGUGCUACAUUCUAAGUUAAAUACUUUAUGUGCACCAUCUCAUACAGACUCCAGCACCGAACAAAGAGAACCAAGUCUGGUAUACAGAGCCUUCCUUCCUCAAGAAGUCACGCAAAGGAUACAGUCCCCCAGAGACACGUGGUCCUUGAAAAUCGUGUACCUGUGGGAUAGAAACCUUUUGAAUUUGAAGUCUGAGGUGGACUUUCAUGCAGGAGGCAAGCUAAGGAAGCUCUGCCUAAGCCCACAGGGCUCCCCCACCCAAACCUUCUGGCCCAGUCCCAUCCAGUCCCCAGUUCCACCGCUGCACUCACCACUUCUUCAGGACGAUCUUGUUCCAACGGGUGCCAGUUUGGGCUGCGAUCAGCUUCUUAAGGUCCCCGAUGGUGUCAUCAGUGCUGGGCGCAGACGAGUUAAGGAAAACGGAAGGGAGAACGGGGAAGAGGACAUCCCAGGGCUGAAGGCGCCCUGCCAGGCCCCCACCCGCCACCCGCCCACUCCCCCGGGUUUAACUAAAGUCACCCUACAGCACACACGGAGAUGCCUGCCUCACGUCAAGCACCCCAGGAACCACUGCCUCUCAGCCGCGGGUGGAUACUUGCACUUAACGCGGACCUUCUUCCCUAGACGGUCGUUGCAAACAACCUCGAUCAUCCUGUCUGGAGCCUUGAUGGCCGGGUCCGUCCGCUCUCCCCGACUCUGAGCCUCUCCCACCAGCCCCUCACCUCGAAUCGCCUGGAACCCGCCGACGCCACAAACUCCUCGCUCGAGGGCGGAGCCCGGGUCAGAGUAGACGCCGAGAGCCGGAAGCGGAAGUGAACAACCGGAAGCGCCCUCCCGCUCCCCGCUCAACACCGCUCCGGCUUUCUUCCGGUCCCAGGCAGGUUCCGAGCGCCGCUUCGGGGUCCCUAGUUUGGGCAGAGGAUACGCGCCCGUCGAUGCGUGGGGCCGCGUUGGGGUCCCAGUUUGUGCGUGGCCGGGGAAGGGGCGUGAAAGCAAAGUCAGAGGUCAGGGGCCGGCCAGAGAGAUCCCCCUUCCGUUGGAAGGUGCGGGUUGCCGCGGCCUCGUGUGGCGCCUGGUGGGAACAUCAGGGGAGCCCGGGGACGCCCCGUGGGGGUGGUGACUUUUCGUUCCGGAGCCCGACGGAGCCUCUCAGUGGAGCCUCAGCUUCAGGGCGAGGAGGAGCCUGGGUCAAGUCGUGCUGUCAUCUCGGGCCCCCUGCCUUCACUGGGGGCGGGGACUUGGAAGCGUUUUGCCCACCCCUCCCUUUGGCCAUAGCUUCCCCCCCUUGCACCCCGACACACACACCUGGGCGCAGACCACAGUCAGCAAAGCGGCCUCCUGAUCACGUCCUGGAUACAGCACGCACCAGUCCGGAGUCCAGUUCUCUCCUCUGCUGUCUCUGCCUCUCUCUGUGUGUCUCUCAUGAAUAAAUAAAAAUCUUAAAACA